UACGUAGGGUGCAAGCGUUGUCCGGAAUUAUUGGGCGUAAAGAGCUCGUAGGCGGUUUGUCGCGUCUGCUGUGAAAUCCCGAGGCUCAACCUCGGGCCUGCAGUGGGUACGGGCAGACUAGAGUGCGGUAGGGGAGAUUGGAAUUCCUGGUGUAGCGGUGGAAUGCGCAGAUAUCAGGAGGAACACCGAUGGCGAAGGCAGAUCUCUGGGCAGUAACUGACGCUGAGGAGCGAAAGCGUGGGGAGCGAACAGG
rnacentral:rRNA from 1 species